UACGUAGGGGGCGAGCGUUGUCCGAAGUUACUGGGCGUAAAGAGCGCGUAGGCGGGCUUCUAAGUGAGAGGUGAAAGGUUCGGGCUCAACCCGGAGAGUGCCUUUCAUACUGGGAGCCUUGAGUGCGGGAGAGGGAAGUGGAAUUCCCGGUGUAGUGGUGAAAUGCGUAGAUAUCGGGAGGAACACCAGUGGCGAAGGCGACUUCCUGGCCUGUUCUUGACGCUGAGGCGCGAAAGCUAGGGUAGCAAACGGG
rnacentral:rRNA from 1 species